rnacentral:tRNA from 1 species
UAGCUCAGUUGGUAGAGCAACUGACUCUUAAUCAGUGGGUCCCGGGUUCGAAUCCCUGAAGG